UACGUAGGGGGCAAGCGUUGUCCGGAUUUAUUGGGCGUAAAGAGCGUGUAGGCGGCCGUACAGGUCAGCUGUGAAAACUCGAGGCUCAACCUCGAGACGUCGGUUGAAACCGUACGGCUAGAGUCCGGAAGAGGAGAGUGGAAUUCCCGGUGUAGCGGUGAAAUGCGCAGAUAUCGGGAGGAACACCUGUGGCGAAAGCGGCUCACUGGACCACAACUGACGCUGAGGCGCGAAAGCUAGGGGAGCAAACAGG
rnacentral:rRNA from 1 species